rnacentral:rRNA from 1 species
GACGAACGCUGGCGGCGUGCUUAACACAUGCAAGUCGAACGAAGUGGCGAACGGGUGAGUAACGUGUAAUCAACCUGCCCUUCAGAGGGGGACAACAGUUGGAAACGACUGCUAAUCCCGCAUACUGAAGGAGGGGAUUGCGUUGGAUUAGGUAGUUGGAGGGGUAACGGCCCACCAAGGCGAGGAUCAGUAGCCGGUCUGGGGGGAUGAACGGCCAGAUUGGGACUGUGAAACGGCCCAGACUCCUACGGGAAGCAGCAGUGGGGAAUCUUGCGCAAUGGACGAAAGUCUGACGGAGCAACGCGGCGGGAGUGAUGACGGCCUUCGGGUUGGAAAGCUCUGUUAAUCGGGACGCGGUACCGGAAUAGAAAGCCACGGCUAACUACGUGCCAGCAGCCGCGGUAAUUC